UACGAAGGGUGCAAACGUUGCUCGGAAUUAUUGGGCGUAAAGCGCACGUAGGCGGCUUUGUAAGUUGGAUGUGAAAGCCCUCGGCUCAACUGAGGAAGUGCACCCGAAACUGGCGAGCUUGAGUACGAAAGAGGAUCGCGGAAUUCCCGGUGUAGAGGUGAAAUUCGUAGAUAUCGGGAGGAACACCGGUGGCGAAGGCGGCGACCUGGGCCAAUAUUGACGCUGAGGUGGCGAAAGCGUGGGGAGCAAACAGGAU
rnacentral:rRNA from 1 species